rnacentral:lncRNA from 1 species
GCAAAACUACCAAAUUCACAUCUGCUAGUCACUUUUUAUUAGCCAUAUUUAAGAGGAUGUUAGUGCCUGUUUAAACGCAACCGUAGCAGGCAGGCAUGAACUGACCAUGCAUGCCCACAUGUAAAAAAUAGAAAGCAGAAC